rnacentral:rRNA from 1 species
AUUGAACGCUGGCGGCAUGCCUUACACAUGCAAGUCGAACGGUAACGCGGGGCAACCUGGCGACGAGUGGCGAACGGGUGAGUAAUGCAUCGGAACGUGCCCAGUUGUGGGGGAUAACUGCUCGAAAGAGCAGCUAAUACCGCAUACGACCUGAGGGUGAAAGCGGGGGAUCGCAAGACCUCGCGCAAUUGGAGCGGCCGAUGUCGGAGUAGCUAGUUGGUGGGGUAAAGGCCCACCAAGGCAACGAUCCGUAGCUGGUCUGAGAGGACGACCAGCCACACUGGGAAUGAGACACGGCCCAGACGCCUACGGGAGGCAGAAGUGGGGAAUUUUGGACAAUGGACGCAAGUCUGAUCCAGCCAUGCCGCGUGCGGGAAGAAGGCCUUCGGGUUGUAAACCGCUUUUGUCAGGGAAGAAAUCUUCUGGGUUAAUACCUCGGGAGGAUGACGGUACCUGAAGAAUAAGCACCGGCUAACUACGUGCCAGCAGCCGCGGUAAAAC